GCCGGCAUAGCUCAGUUGGUAGAGCAGUUGAUUUGUAAUCAUCAGGUCGGGAGUUCAAGUCUCUCUGCCGGCACCA
rnacentral:tRNA from 1 species